rnacentral:rRNA from 1 species
UACGAAGGGGGCUAGCGUUGUUCGGAAUUACUGGGCGUAAAGCGCACGUAGGCGGCUUUGUAAGUUAGAGGUGAAAGCCUGGAGCUCAACUCCAGAAUUGCCUUUAAGACUGCAUCGCUUGAAUCCAGGAGAGGUGAGUGGAAUUCCGAGUGUAGAGGUGAAAUUCGUAAAUAUUCGGAAGAACACCAGUGGCGAAGGCGGCUCUCUGGUCUGUAACUGACGCUGAGGCGCGAAAGCGUGGGGAGCGAACAGG